UGAGAGAUAUGCAGUUGUUCUUGAUGACAACGUCAAAAGGAUAAAUUUUGCCGAGGGGAAGAUCUGAUUCUAGAAGUAGGAAUUUGCAGCUUGAUUUUUGAAAUAGGCUCAAAAUUGAGAUCUUGUUGGAAAUUUUUUAUUUUUUUAUUUUUUGUAAGAGCAUUUAAAUAUCCAAUGUGCUGAUUGGUGAAUUUUAGAUUUUAUUUUAUUAUUUUAUUUUUUUUAGGAUU